rnacentral:lncRNA from 1 species
CCUCACCCCGCCGGAGCAGCGACCUAAGCAGGAGGCAGGGGAGGCGGGCGGAGGGCUCUGGAAGUUGCCAGACUCGCUCCUGGCCCCGCGUCUCAGCGGCGAGCCCCGAAGCCACCCCAGGCGCGGACAAGGAGAGGGGCUUUCCGGUGACCGUGGCCCCAGGCAUUUGUUACGCUUACAGAAGGCAAUGCACGGAUAGUUUUGUAGGUUCUUUGGAGACACUGAUGGAAUGUGAGAAUUGUGUCCUGCAAUGGAAAGAACAUGAAUUUACCAAAUCUUUACAGAAUGUCCGAUAUUGUUCUAGGCAU